AUUUUGCCUCAACUCUGAUCGUCGCCUUCUCCGACCCGGUUCCUUCAAUUUGUUCCCCAAACAGCCACAAACAGCAAGCUUAUCUGGAGCUACUGACUACUGUCCCAUGAAAUUUGUUGGUCAGUAGAAGACGGGAGAUAAGAUAAGGAGCAAGAAGAAGUCACGUGUCAGAUAACGAUAUAAUUUUGGUACGUAUUAUCUCUAUCAGUGCUCUAAUACUCUCGAAUCAUUUCACUACAUUUUGUACUAAAAAAUGUGGACUGUAAUUCCGUUUAGUUUAGAGUAAGUUUUUUUUUUUUUUUGAAUAAAUAAUGGA